rnacentral:sRNA from 1 species
GGUAGGCGGCUGGAGGCGGGCAGAAAAGAGGAAUUUGUUGGGAAUGGAGGAAAUCCUAUCAAUGUGACUUGUGCUAGUUUCGUCAAAAUUCUAUCGAAAUGCUAUUGAAAUGCUGUCGAAAUUUUAUUCAAAAUUUGGUCAGAUUUUGUAAGUGUAUAGUAUUUGUGAUUUUUUUGGUGAAAAUACAAAAACAUCACAACAUAUGCUCAUAUUUGAAUUACUUACAAGCUGAAUUUACAAAAUAAGGGCAAAAUCAC